rnacentral:lncRNA from 12 species
GGCGGUGUCCACUGUGGUCCUCAGGCUCCCUCCCUCCCUCCCUGUGUGGCAGUGGCCCUCGGGCAAGCCUCUCUCACAGUCUCUGGCCCGUUGCCAUCUCGGUCAGUGGGGGACACAUCCAUCCCAAAAGGUCCAGGGGCUCGGGCACGGGACGCCCUGCCCUGAUCCUGUUCCUUUCUCCACCCCGCCCCGCCCCCAAUUGGCGUCGUGGCUGAGGCACGCUGCUUGUGAGUGGCGUCCCUUUGUCGUUUACAUUCUGAUGCAGUCUGCAAUCAGCGUGGGCUUCAGCUCCUCUGAUUAGCGGCUCUUGAAGGGAUUCUUCAGAGUCAGCAAGAACAGCCGCCUCGUCACCGUCCGGCAUCUGCUGCUCCUGGCUCGGGGGACGCACAUCUGCAUUCAAGAACUCGGCCACCGUUGGGCUGUGUGGACUCUCCUCUCAUCUGACCCCCAGUGGUACCUGUCUGGUUCCGGGCGUCAUGGGAUACCCGGGCUCCAUGAGGGACAGGGCACUACUACCACCCAGUCCCUGCCAGUCGCCCUAAUUUCUGCGUCAGGUGUGCUGCUGUACACAGGGCUCCAUCCCAGGACUUGGGAUCAUGACCUGAGCCCAAGGCAGAUGCUUCACCGACUGAGCGCCCCCAGGCGCCCCUUUGCUCAUCUUUUAUAAGACACCAUUGCUUGCUGUCCUUGGUAUGCCCUUCAAGACUGUAGAUGUAAGAAUUAUUUUAUUUCUGGAAAAUUUUUAAAAAUUGCAUCCUUCAAUAUCGUUCUGUUCUAUUAUUUUGCUUCUCUUUGGGGGACCAAUGUGUGUGUGUGUGUCCACUAGCCUCCUA